GUUGCAGAAGCAGAGGCGUGGGCUCCGUUGUUAUAGUGUAACUAAACUGAAGUUCAGGGUUACUAUGCUGUGAUAAGAAGGAAAUGCAACUUUUUAAAAUUCUACACUUUACAGCUAAAUACAGUUUUAUAUGCAGAGCGGAUACUAUAACAAUUAUUUUAAGUCAGUUUCUCCAAAAACUGAAAUUGAAGGCCUUGGGCGGAAAAAAAGAAACUUGAGAACACCUUGACCAGAACUGAAUUAUCCAGAAGCCGGUAAGCCACUGACUAACGCACAUUGUGUCUCUUUGCGUUCCCACUGUGCGUGUGACAGCGGCUAACCAGCCUCUCGGGCAGCGCUCCCGGACCCGUGCCCGCGCCUGCGCCUUGAUCGACAGAGAGAAAGCGAAAGCAGAGCGAGCCUCAGGAGGAGGAGGAGCAGCAGCCCACGGAAACCUGGACAUCUUCAGCACAGCCAUGGCAAGUGCGAGUCGAGGAGGCAGCAUGAAUCAUCAUCCUAAUAAUCAUUUCCCUCAAGCCCUUCCCUAUUACUUCCAGUAACGCUUCUGCGUCGUCAUUUAAGUACGUAGUGCUGAUUACCUUGUGCUGUUUCUCAAAUUGUGUGCAUUCAGUAUGGGAAUCGCUACACAGAGGGAGGAAUGUCAUAACAUUUUAUGAAGUGAGUUUGAUGGACUGAAUGGUCUGUUCUUGCUUCUUACACUUCUUAUGUUCCGACUACAUAAGAGCAGAGCUUGAGUCCUAUAAAACAUUAUAGUGGGCUUUGAGCUGUAGGGUUUGUAAUGUCGUGUCAUAAUUCGGGUUGCAUCUUAUUAGCGCUUAGCAACCCAAUGACACUUGGUAGUUUUUUAUUUGUAUAAAUUAAAAACCGCAAUUGGAAAUUCAACUUCACACUCCUAAUAUACUGUGUCGUGAUGAUUCCUACUAAUAAGCCACCAAAGUCAAACAGACCAAUCAGAUUCCUUGGAGGGACCAGAAACGCACACACAGUAGUGUUUUAUUAUAUAGAACAAGACAGUGGGGUGUCCAGUUCUGAUCCUGGAGGGCCACGGUGGCUCAAGGUGCCACUUUCUUAACCAGUGACUAAUUUCUGCUUUUCCCCCUUCAUUUUAAUGGCCGUGUUUUUUUUUUAAAGACUCAGAAUUGCUUCUUUCCUCCUUAAUGUUAGCCACACCAAAAUGAAAUGUGAAGAGGAACAACGGAUGAUUAGAGUCUCAAACUCCAACCAUUUUCUUAAUUGGAAGCGGAUUCUUGUUGUUAAUUAAAACCAUUAUUCAAUUCCCUAGCUUGUGCAUGUUCAUUCUUCCACAGAAGACAUUACCAAACUGUUGCUUUCCUUUAUUCUAAGAGCACUGUUAAAAUGUUUUGUGGAUGGUGGAAGAUCAACGUUACUGAGACCUUCAUCUUUAUUUAUUUUUAAAUAUUGUUUGAUGAGCACAAGUUGGCUUGUUUUGUACCCCAUUAUUGUUUGACUGCUAAAUAAGGAGAAAAGAAACAAUUAAGGAGCCAGAGUUGUAAAUGUUGUAAAUGGGCCAUGUUCUGUGCCUCUGUUGUUGAGGCAGCUGACCGGAGCUGUGGUCGGUGCCUAUCGUGGCGGCAAGCCCCGAACCCGUUGGUGGACACCGGCAGUGAGGGAUGCCAUCAAGCUGAAGGAGUCCUACCGGUCCCUUUUGUCCUGUGGGACUCUGGAGGCAGCUGAUAGGUACUGGCAGGCCAAGCGGAAUGCGGCUUUGGUGGUUGCUGAGGCAAAAACUCGGGCGUGGGAGGAGUUUGGGGAGGCCAUGGAGAACGACUUUCGGACGGCUUCAAGGAGAUUCUGGUCCGGCGUCUCAGGAGGGGGAAGCAGUGCAGUGUCAACACUGUAUAUGGUGGGGAUGGUGCGCUGCUGACCUCGACUCGGGACGUUGUGGGUCGGUGGGGCGAGUACUUCGAAGACCUCCUCAAUCCCAAUAACAUGCCUUCCAAUGAAGAAGCAGAGCCUGGGGACUCGGAGGUGGGCUCCCCCAUCUCUGGGACUGAGGUCACCUAGGUGGUCAAAAAAACUCCUUGGUGGCAGGGCCCCAGGGGUGGAUGAGAUACGCCCAGAGUUCUUCAAGGCUCUGGAUGUUGUAGGACUGUCUUGGUUGACGCGCCUCUGCAACAUCGCAUGGACAUCAGGGACAGUGCCUCUGGAUUGGCAGACCGGGGUGGUGGUCCCCCUCUUUAAGAAAGGGGACUGGAGGGUGUGUUCCAACUACAGAGGGAUCACACUCCUCAGCCUCCCUGGAAAAGUCUAUUCAGGGGUCCUGGAGAGGAGGGUCCGUCAGAUAGUCGAGCCUCGGAUUCAGGAGGAACAGUGUGGUUUUUUAGUCCUGGUCGCGGAACAGUGGACCAGCUCUACACCCUUAGCAGGGUCCUGGAGGGUGCAUGGGAGUUUGCCCAACCAGUCUACAUGUGUUUUGUGGACUUGGAAAAGGCGUUCGACCGUGUCCCUCGGGGAAUCCUGUGGGGGGUACUCCGAGAGUAUGGGGUACAGGACCACCUUAUAAGGGCUGUUCGGUCCCUGUACGAUCGGUGCCAGAGCUUCGUCCGCAUUGACGGCAGUAAGUCAAACCCGUUUCCAGUGAGAGUUGGACUCCGCCAGGACUGCCCAUUGUCACCGAUUCUGUUCAUAACUUUUAUGGACAGAAUUUCUAGGCGCAGCCAGGGUGUUGAGGGGGUCCGGUUUGGUGGACUCAGGAUUGGGUCACUGCUUUUUGCAGAUGAUGUUGUCCUGUUUUGCUUCAUCAGGCUGUGAUCUUCAGCUCUCUCUGGAUCGGUUCGCAGCCGAGUGUGAAGCGGCUGGGAUGAGAAUCAGCACAACCAAAUCCGAGAUCAUGGUCUUCAGCCAGAAAAGGGUGGAGUGCCCUCUCAGGGUUGGGAGCGAGAUCCUGCCCCAAGUAGAGGAGUUCAAGUAUCUCGGGGUCUUGUUCACGAGCGAGGGAAGAAUGGAGCGUGAGAUCGACAGGCGGAUCGGUGCUGCAUCCGCAGUAAUGUGGGCUCUGAAUCGGUCUGUCGUGGUGAAAAAGGAGCUGAGCCGCAAGGCGAAGCUCUCAAUUUACCAGUUGAUCUAUGUUCCUACCCUCACCUAUGAUCAUGAGCUAUGGGUAGUGACCGAAAGAACAAGAUCGCGAAUACAAGCGGCUGAAAUGAGUUUCCUCCACAGGGUGUCUGGGCUUUCCCUUAAAGAUAGGGUGAGAAGCUCAGUCAUCCAGGAGGGGCUCAGAGUAGAGCCGCUGCUCCUCCGCAUCGAGAGGAGUCAGAUGAGGUGGCUCGAGCAUCUGAUCAGGAUGCCUCCUGGACACCUCCCUGGUGAGGUGUUUCGGGCACGUCUAACCGGGAGGCGGCUCCGGGGAAGACCCAGGACACGCUGGAGGGACUAUGUCUCUCAGCUGGCCUGGGAACGCCUUGGGAUUCUCCCGGAAGAGCUAGAAGAAGUGGCCGGGGAGAGGGAAGUCUGGGCAUCUCUGCUCAAGCUGCUGCCCCCGUGACCCGACCUCGGAUAAGCGGAAGAGGAUGGAUGGAUGGAUGGAGUUGUAAACAACUAGUCGGUUAGAGUUAACGGAUAUGAGGGGGCCUGAGCAUAUCCCAGCAGGACAAGAUUUAUGCACAACCUGGCACAUGUGCAGGAAUAUCUGACCUGCAUGUUUUUUGUGGAUGUGUGAGAGGAACCCAUGCAGACAACAAAAACAAUAAUUGAUUCCCUGUACAGCUCAAGUCACACAAGGAUUUCCUAAAUGGACUUAAACAGGCCCUGUUUUUGACAGCCCCCCAGCCUUGAUUCUCUAAGACGAUGAGAAGAAACUCCAAAAAACUUUAUAAGAAAAAAAAUGGAAAUCUUAGGAAGGGCAAUUAGGAGACCCUAAUCCAGGUAGGAUGGGCAUACAAUGGGGUAAAUACAACACCCAAAUGAGAACAGAAGUAAUCCUCUUCACAGAGCUAGAUCGCCAAUUUAUCAUGGUCACCUCAGAAAUACAACACAACAGUACAAACUACUUUGCUCUUGCACAGCAGUUCUCACCAAGUGCAGGCACAGAACGAGGUGACAACUCUCAAGGCAAAAUGCAAUUCUAAAACUCAAUAAAUACACAGCUAUCACAUAUGAUACAGAUUUGUUCAAAUAUAUCAAAAUCAAAGUAGAAACAGAUUAACAUAAGUGAAAAACAAAAAUAUCUGUCCAUCAGUAAAUCGUAGAAUCACAGCCAGAUUGUAGAAAAGGAGUCCGAGACGACAGAGUCCUGGAGACCUCCGCCAACAAGCUGUGUCCCUCCUAUUGGCCAUCCUACAGCUGAGUCAGUGCUUGGCUGGCCAAUCAGAUGGAAGGACCCUCCUACCUAAUGAUCCCAGUUCUCCUUUAUCAGAGAUGACAUUUCAAUAGGCAGUAAAGUAGUGGCACCCAGUGCCACAUGAAACCUGGGAAGAACUGCACAAACAAACAUCGGGCAUGAAAUUGGAAAAGCAAAACACUAAAUCCAAGUUGUGCCACUCCUAUUUUGGAAUAAGCACUAUUGUAAAGAUGAAUUCAUACCAACACAGGAGAAACCUGUCAUGGCUUCACAGAAAAUGGGUAUCUGCUAUGCUAUAACAACUUCAAUCAUUCAUUUUCCCAACCCAUGUGUUCUAAAACAGGGUUGUUGGAGGUGAGAAACCAUCAUGGCAACAUCCAAAGCUGGAUGGUACUGUAAUCCAUCACAGGACCAAUACCAACCAAUUAUUUUAGAAUAACUCGAAGAUCAGCCUAACUCAUCUGUCUAUGUAUUUGUCAAACUCCCAUAUAGUAUCUAUAUAUCUAACAAUCAUAUUGUGCCUUCCGUAUCUAUCAGUCUAUCUGUCCGAGUCAUGCUUAUAGUAUUAUAACACACUGCAGGGGUUAUCAAAGAUGUUCUCCUGUGAAUGGAAAACAAGUAGGAGUGGCAAGAAAGAGUGACAGUGCAAUACAAAUAUAGCAAACACAGUCUGAGUCAAGCUGAAGGAGAUUUCAGGCCUAUGAAGCACACCUUGUCUUGAUCUCUACUCAUUUUGUCCCCACCCUCUAAUCACACCACCAACUGUCCUCUAUCAUGACUGACAGCUACUGUCAUUCGGACUGCUUUGGUAUGCUGCUAGGUGUGUCCAGCUUCAAUCUCUUUCAGUCAGAUAUCCUUACCCUUGAGUCAAUUUAGAGUUGUCGACCAACCUAAUGUAAGGUAUUUGAGAUAUGGGAAGGAAACUGGACCACUGGAGAAAACCAGCAAAGCAGUGGUGAAAUGGAGACUUAAUGGGUCUUCUGCAAUUAGAAUUCUAACUUUUAUGUAUGGUGGUUAUUUCCGAUAAGGAAUACAGAUGUUUUUGAGUAAGGAACAGAAGUUUCAAGGUAAGAUUGUUAUUCUUGCUAAUCAUGACGCUGGAGAGUGGCAACUAGUAAUGAGCGAACCCCAUACAGCACGGGUGUCAAACUCUUUUUUUUUUUUUUUUUUUUUUUCUUUUGCCUUAAUUUUAAUUAACUUGACUCAGGUGCCUUUGUUGUUUCUUUUUCCUUAAUUAGCAGCCAAAGAAUAAUGAGACACAAAACGAGCUGCCCACACGACCAGCUAUCCACAAUAUCUAGAAAUAAAGAAAGGUGAAGGCCUCAGUAAGGUUGAUCUCUCAGAUCACCAAAACAUUUUGACGAUGUUCUUAGAAAAAACAGAAAAUCAACAAUUUUGGAAAUGUCUGAUGUGGCAGAAUGAGAGCAGCAACAAGCCAUGGAAUUAAAGAACAAGUUUAAUUAACAGCAAGAAUCAGCUUCUCAUUAAGAAACUAGUUGGAGUGAAAUUGGUUGGAGUUUGAAGACCCAAUUUAGCUUGUCAUCUGUUGUCUCGUUUCACAUCUAAUUUCUGUUUGGCUGCCAUUUAAUGAAGAAAGGAAUCAAUUCAGAGGACUGAAUCCUUAAAAACAGGGCUAUUAAAACAAAGGGCAAAUGAGUUAAUUAGUGAAAACUGGUCACUGAUUAGGAAAAGGGUUAGAAUGAAAACCUGCAGCCCUCCAGGCCCAGAGUUCAAUACCCCUGCCAUAGAGCAUGGGUGUCGAACUCCGGUCCUGGAGGGCCGCAAUGGCUACAGAUUUUCAUUCUAACCACCUCCUUAAUUAGUGACCAAUUUUUGCUGCUAAUUAACUUCUUUUGCCUUAGUUUUAAUUAACUUGACUCAGGCCCCUUUAGUUGUCUCUUUUCCUUCAUUAGCAGCCAAACACUAAUUAGACACAAAACGAACCGCCACGUGAGCAGCUAACCACAUUAUCUGAAAUUAAAGAAAGAUCUCUCAGUUCACCAAACAUUGUGAUGGUGUUCUUAGAAAAAACAAGAAAAUCAAAAGUUUUGGAAAUGUCUGCUGGAGCAGAAUGAGAGCAGAAUUAAAUAAUGGGUUUAAUUAACAACAAGAAUUGGCUUCUCAUUAAGGAAUUGGUUGGAGUGAAAUUGGCUGGAGUUUGACGCUCCAGUUCAGCUGUUGGCUCGUUUCACAUCUCAUUUCUGCUUGGCUGCCAUUUAAUGAAGAAAAGAAUCAAUUGAGAGGACUGAAUCCUUAAAAACAGGGCUAUUAAAAUGAAGGGAAAAGGAGUUAAUUAGCAGUGAAGAAGCUUUUGAUUAUGAUUAAGAUCAAGGUUUAAGCCUUAUUAGUUCGUGACAACUCCGUGACAGAUGAACACACGUUUAGCAUUUUUGGUAACCUUUUAUAGUUUAGGUACUGCAAAAACACAUCUAUUACUCAUUUCCUCUUAUGUAACAAGACCCUAACAAAAGCUUCUUUUGGUCUGCAUAACGCUCUACUAAUGUUUAAUCGUUAUUCAUGUCUGUGUUGUGUGGUAUAUUGACAUGAUGUUAAAACUACUUGCUGAUAUGAAGGAUUCACUGGUCUUAUACUAAAUACGUAAUAUCAAGAGAAAUGCCUCUCCCUGAAGCCGCCUCAGACCAUUCCAAAAUGACGUUUUGUUAAUAGGUUGCAUUGCAGAGAUGAAUAAACACUUCAUUGGCGCUUUGGAAGUGUUAUGAAGACCCAAAAAGUGUUAAAGGUCCUGUUACAUAAGAGGAAAUGAGUAAUAGGUACAUUUUUGUAGUACCUAAAGUGUUAUUGGAUUAUUAUGAGCAGUGUUAAAACCAAAAUGGUGGCGUCAGAUCAUUGUCUGUGUAGAGUUAGCAGGUGUUCCUCAAUAUGCCCUGUUUUUCUUCUUCAUUACCCAAAGACUGAAUUGUUAGUUUAUUGGGGACUCUAAAUUGGUCCAUCAUGAGUGAUUUUGCCCUAUGAAGGACUCGUGCCCAAUUUGAGGGUUGGCAAAUACUAUGAAGAGUGCUAUAUGAAGUAAACAUUGACUGGUUGACACUUGGCGUGCUUACAUGUGCUUCAAUAACCUGAUUAUUUACGGAAACCUGAUUUCUAAAAUGUCAUGUAAAUCCUUAUUCAAAAUAGAGAAAUCAGGUUAUUGGACUCUGAGAAACCUUAUUAACAGAGUUGGAUUACUCUGGAAAUAAUCCAGUUAUGUGGGAAUGUAAUCCCUUACCCGGGUUACUGUGAAGGAUUUUGUAGUCAUGUACAUUUCCACUGCACUCUGUUCGCCUGAUUAACUUUGCAUACGUUUUUAGCAGCCAUGGGUAUAAGCAUCCACAAAUUAAUGCAAUUCCAUGGGCUAAUGUUUGGGUGAAAUAAUCUCAGUUUUUCGGAAAAAUCUGAAAUUGUGUUGAUGAGUUGAACAUACAGUGCUAAACUUAGCAAAAGAAUCACGAGAGCAGUAGGGCAACACAUUAAAAGAAACUUGCGUUACGUAGUCUGAUUUCUUAGUAUAGUAACGAGUAACCUAACGCAAAGCUAAACUUCUUGAAGUAUAAAUACCUGCAACAUUGUUAUUCCAGUGGCACUGGAUGUAAGGUUAAGAGAGCACUUACUGGUAUGGCGGUCCUUUGCAGGGCUCAAUCACACGGCCUAGCAGAACAAAGUGUAAUCCGCUAACAGAAACCUAUAUAUAAAGCGUCAAUCUGAAUUAACAUAUCUAUUAUUAAAAAAAAAAAAAAAAAUCUUGGAAAGGUAAA